rnacentral:rRNA from 1 species
AUUAGGCUUUGAUCCUGGCUCAGGAUGAACGCUGGCGGCGUGCCUAACACAUGCAAGUCGAGCGAUUUUCUUCGGAGAAGAGCGGCGGACGGGUGAGUAACGCGUGGGUAACCUGCCCUGUACACACGGAUAACAUACCGAAAGGUAUGCUAAUACGGGAUAACAUAUUUUGAUGGCAUCAUCGAAAUAUCAAAGCUCUGGCGGUACAGGAUGGACCCGCGUCUGAUUAGCUAGUUGGUGAGGUAAUGGCUCACCAAGGCGACGAUCAGUAGCCGACCUGAGAGGGUGAUCGGCCACAUUGGAACUGAGACACGGUCCAAAC